rnacentral:rRNA from 1 species
UACAGGGGGUGCGAGCGUUAAUCGGAAUUACUGGGUGUAAAGGGCGCGUAGGCGGCAUUGUAAGUGCGAUGUGAAAGCCCCGGGCUUAACCUGGGAAGAGCAUUGCAUACUGUGAUGCUGGAGUACAUGAGAGGGUGGCGGAAUUUCCGGUGUAGCGGUGAAAUGCGUAGAGAUCGGAAGGAACGUCAAUGGCGAAGGCAGCCACCUGGCAUGAUACUGACGCUGAGGCGCGAAAGCGUGGGGAGCGAACAGG